CAUGCUUUACACAUGCAAGUCGAGCGGCAGCGGGGUGCCAGGCCUGCCGGCGAGCGGCGAACGGGUGAGUAAUGCAUAGGAACGUACCCCGUACUGGGGGAUAACCCAGCGAAACCGGGGCUAAUACCGCAUAUGCUCUACGGAUGAAAGCGGGGGAUUCGCAAGGACCUCGCGCUAUGGGAGCGGCCGAUGUCCGAUUAGCUUGUUGGUGAGGUAAAGGCUCACCAAGGCGACGAUCUGUAGCUGGUCUGAGAGGAUGAUCAGCCACACUGGGACUGAGACACGGCCCAGACUCCUACGGGAGGCAGCAGUGGGGAAUUUUGGACAAUGGGGGCAACCUUGAUCCAGCAAUGCCGCGUGCAGGAUGAAGGCCUUCGGGUUGUAAACUGCUUUUAGACGGAACGAAAAGGUCCGGGUGAAUACCCGGGACUUUUGACGGUACCGUAGGAAUAAGCACCGGCUAACUACGUGCCAGCAGCCGCGGUAAUACGUAGGAUGCAAGCGUUAAUCUGAAUUACUGGGCGUA
rnacentral:rRNA from 1 species